rnacentral:misc_RNA from 1 species
GCAUCAUUGGUGGUGGAUGAUGAAUACUGUGUGGGAUGGGCUAACAGAGACUCGUCACCACUCAGGUCAUAUUCUCUUCAUAGAAGAAGACCAUUUCAUUUAUCCCAAUGCAUAUCGCAAUAUGCAGUUACUUACUGAGUUGAAGUCAAAAAAGUGUCCCGAUUGUUAUGCUGCUAAUCUAGCGCCAUCUGAAGUGAAGUCGAG